rnacentral:rRNA from 1 species
AACCCUAAAAAGUUCUUAGAGUAUAAAGGUUUGGUCCUGACCUUAUUAUCAACUGUUUCCCGACUUACACAUGCAAGUCUCAGCACACCCGUGAGGACGCCCUUUCAACCUUCCCCAGGCAAAGGAGCUGGUAUCAGGCACAGACCCUUGCCCACGACACCUAGUUUCACCACACCCACAAGGGUAUUCAGCAGUGAUUAAUUUUGCUCAUAAGCGAUAGCUUGACUCAGUCAGGGAAAACAGGGCCGGCUAACACGGUGCCAGCCGCCGCGGCUACACCGUGGGCUCAAGUUGAUAAUCAUCGGCGUUAAGCGUGAUUAAAGUUCUCAAAAACUAGGAUUGAAUUAACACUUAGUAGUUUUAUGCUUGUUGUUAAGAAAACCACAAACGAAAGUUAUCCUAUACUAUCUUGAAUACACGACAGCUAGGAAAACAAACUGGGAUAUG